GUAUGGACAGUCAGACUCCAGUAGCUCUCAAAAAUGAACUGGAGUGUGAAAUAUCUGAUACUGGUUUAAGAAGAAGAGGAGGAGGAGGAAGAGGAGGAGGAAGAGGAGGAGGACAGGACAGCCCAGCUCCGCCUUCACCUUGUCACGGAAUUCGCGAGGGAGAAUUACAGCACGUCAGAUCCUGAAAAAACAGAUCCUAAUCCAUUUACUAACACUAGCGGCUCGAGCGAGUUUUAUAUUCAUGCGUGAUUCCAUAGCGGACGCGUCUUUGUUUCUAAGGGCAUUUGUACGUGUUUAUUACCAAUGUGCAACUUUUACACUCCAGUCUUCCGAAACUGCUGCAGGACACGUUGAUCGCGCUGCUGCCAACUCCCUGAUUUAGCUCUGUUUGUGUGUUUGUGAUUCUCAUCAGCUCGGGAAUUAUGGGAUGCUGCGGUAGCACACAGAAGACCCGCGAGUGGAAACCCUUAGAGCAGAGGAAGUGCACAGAUAUCCCAUGGCUGCUCCUGUUCAUCCUCUUCAAUGUCGGCAUGCUCUGCAUCUGUGGCUUCGCCAUAGCGACCGCAGGGCUGAACCAUAUAGCUUCAUAUCUCAGU